GAUAAUGUGCAACUCGAGACCCCAUACACCCAACCUUCGGGUAGUGGUCAUAUCACCUCUUAUCUUACAACUCCGAUUCUCAACCUCCCCGUGGUGCUGGCUGGGGUGCGAAAAACCUUAGCGAAGAUCGGGUUCCCAACCCCGGUGGAUGCUUUGGUCGCAUGCUAACUGAGAUAGGGGGCUCCUUACGCGUAGGCUUACCAGAAUGAAAUACAGCAAAGUAGGACUUUCGAUGGGAAAAAGAAGGACGGGUGAGUACAAAUUUGGAAAAAUAACUGGUACUCCACAUAAAUAUCAUAGGAACAUUUUAUAACAUUUUUGUAAUCUUAUUUUCAUCACAAAUUCUGGAAUAUUUUGACGUCCUGAUCUCGAAUAUUAUAUUUAAAGCAUCUUUUCCAAAUUUUCAAACAAUCAAAGCUUACCUCCGAGGGGUGAUGACUGGAACACUUGAAAAAAAUAAAAGCGACAGACAAACAAUUUCCUACAAGAAGAGCAACAAAUGCGGGUACAUUUUCGGUUCGACUUCCAUCGACUUUUUUUUUGUAAAGCAAGGGCAAAACGAAAAAAUGCGACAACUUCCAUUUAUUUUUUCCCGUUCUCGUGUAAACUAAUAGUUCGCUGAUAAUAUGUUGCAAAUUAGUAUUUUUCCAAUAGUUUUGAUAUCUAACUGUUUACUCUUAAGAACAAGUUCACUGGUGUUGGGAAAAAGUGGUAGAAAUUUUGACAUUAUGAAAAUUUUACCAUGCAAAAACGUUUUCAAGAUCUUGCGGCGAUGUAUUUUUUUACAACACUGUUUCUAUUUCAGCCGUAUGUGAUAAAAUAUUGCUAUUUUUGCAUCACAGCAUGCGAAAAUCCAACACGUGUUGUAAAAAAACUAGAAGGCCACAGAUCUUAAAAAUGUUUUUGUAUGGCAAAAUUUUCAAAAUGUGCCGUAAGUGUCAAAAUGUCUACCACAUUUUCCCAAGACCAGUGAACUUGCUCUAAGGGAUAAAUAAACCGUAAUCCUAGACAGAAUAUUCGAACGGUUAAAUCGAAGCCACCAUUUGUGUUUUUAUUUAUUAGCAAUAAAAUCGCUAAGAUCACUCAUAUUUUCUUUUUUCUUUUUUGUAUUCCCUUUACGGUUGGAUUGGCUAUCAAUUGGAUCGUCGGAACUGAGCGCUGUCUGCUCAAAAGACCGAUGACUAGAUUAAGACUGAGAUGACUAGCGGCAGCUUUUCGGAUUCCAGUUCCAGCGAUAGGAGCUCCAGCGGAAGUUAAUCUGGAGGUUUCAGAAGCGAUUUGUGCCGGUUUUCCAGUUCGGGAAGUGUCAACAUCUUCAACAUCAUAAUCACGUUCACGUCUCUCUCACCAUCAUAAAAUAACCAGGAUUGCCAGGAAGGAAAGAAACGAGCUUGGUGGAGUAAUUCGAAGGCUGCAGCUCUGAGCCCUAAUCUGACCGGAAGAAGGUGUUGCGGUGGACUACAAAUGUUAUGGAAUUUCCCGCUGCGAAUGAUAGCAACGUAUCAAUGCUAACGGGGCCAAAAUAUUCAUGAAGUUGAUACCGAUCCAAAAAGUGGUGAUGAUGGUCAGUCCAAGUCACUGGGAUUUGGAGAGAAUAUCUCAGUUUCUCAGCGCCGUUUUCCCCCUUCCUGGGAAUUGAGUUUCAUACAACCUAUUGUAGGAAUGCCAGGACACCUCCCUCCCAUCCCCAGCUAAACAGCUGAAACCUGAAGUUUUCUGCAAUUAGGAAUUUCAAUUGAUCAUACAACGAAUUGCGAACCCCUUGGUGUAUUUUUCCGGACAAUCAAUCAGAAACCCGGAUGGACAAUUCCAACAACCAAAUAAUUGUAAUCGAGUCCUCUAUGUUGAACAACUGCAAAUCAUUCCGUUGGUUUAACAAUCAACAAUGAACCCUGUUUGAAUGCCACCAGAACUUGCACGAAUUCCUGUUUAGUUCCUGAGGAAAGCAGCUGCUCACAUAAGAAGGAAUCUCACUUUCGACGUGACCUAGCGUGGAACAUAAAUUGAAACAGAUCCGGUGGCCAAAUCAGAUUUUACAGAGUCUCGGAAGGAUGGCGAAAGAUUAUAAUGUGUCUUUCUGCCUAGUCUAUCAUCAAACCAGAAAACCUUUAUUAUGGAAAUGUUAAUGAUUCCAAAACCGCGUGAGAUUUCCCUACGGAACGUCAACCCGUGGUUUAUUGAUGACCUAAAGGAUUAGGGAGAUACAUCAGUAAUAUCAGACUGGCUCUUGCUCUGGUCUACCAUGGGAUAGCAAAAUAUCUUACUGAUGGAUGGACGUCUCCCAGAAACAUAUCUAUGACAAAAAAAACUGUCUUAGAAAAUACAACUGAAGGUAGGCAUGACUUUCCAUCAAUCUUCGAGCUUAAAAACCAUACUGACGUUGCAAUUAUCUUGGUUAAGGGAAAUAGUUGCGGCAAAUAGAUGAUUUCACCGAAUAAAUCGUUGGAACUAUUGGGGACGGAAAAACUGACUACCAAGCAAUGCCGAAAAAAUCUUUGUAACCUAAUCAAAUCACUAUAGGUUGGUUUUUUACAUCGAUUUGAACUAGUCGAGUAACCCCAGAAGCAACAAAAGUUGGAAAGUGAUAGCAAAGCAGUGCAGAACCCGAAUCCAUGUUAGCACAAGAAGUACGUCGACGGACUCUUAUUAAGGUUGACAGAAGGAGCAAAAAUUCCAAAUCUGGCCCACGGCUUCCUGAUGGAAGAAAACAGAUGCGGCCAAGGAGUCAAUCCACCGAAAAAUCUUCGGCGCAACCAAUUUAUUGUGUGUAAAAUCGAGAUAAUUGCUGGACGAUGCUGAGUGAAAAUAGUCGGAAAAUAUUGUUUUUGGUAGCAUGGAAGUAUUUAAACAAGAAUAGAGCAGGCCGAGCAUUCAAAUUUAGGUAUAUUUGAAGCACUAUUAAAUGGGAUUAGGACUGUCAUUUUUCAUAAACGCCAAAAACAACGAAACGUUAGUGACAGAAGAAGAGAAGCUUCUCUGUUAAAGGAAUAACAUGAAAAAAACAUGAAAAAAGACAGUAAUGCUGAGCAACUCGGUCGUGACAGAUUCAAAUUGAAAGGCAAGGAUUCAGGACUUCUAACUAAGUAUUUAUUACCAAGCAAAUAAUUUGAAUCCGAUGGAUAGCUUUAAUUAUUGCUGUUUCGAUACCUACAAAUAAGUAACAAUAUUGUACAGUUAUUGAUUUUAUUUUUUUUUGUCAGGAAUUUAUCACAUUGUGGCAUUCUUCCCCA